CCUACGGGAGGCUGCAGUGAGGAAUAUUGGUCAAUGGGCGUAAGCCUGAACCAGCCAAGUCGCGUGAGGGAUGAAGGUUCUAUGGAUCGUAAACCUCUUUUAUAAGGGAAUAAAGUGUGGGACGUGUCCUAUUUUGUAUGUACCUUAUGAAUAAGGAUCGGCUAACUCCGGGCAAGCAGCCGCGGUAAUACGGAGAAUCCGAGCGUUACCCGGGUUUUUUGGGUUUAAAGGGUGCGUAGGCGGCCUUGUAAGUUAUCGGUGAAAGUCUGUGGCUAAAACAUAGAAUGGCCGUUGAAACUAGGGGACUUGAGUAUGUUUGAGGCAGGCGGAAUGCGAGGUGAAGCGGUGAAAUGCUUAGAUAUAACGCAGAACCCCGAUUGCGAAGGCAGCCUGCCAAGCCAUUACUGACGCUGAUGCACGAAAGCGUGGGGAUCAAACAGGAUUAGAUACCCUUGUAGUC
rnacentral:rRNA from 1 species